UAGGGAAUAUUGGUCAAUGGAUGGAAGUCUGAACCAGCCAUGCCGCGUGCAGGAAGACGGCCUUCUGGGUUGUAAACUGCUUUUAUCUGGGGAUAAAAAGGCCUUGCGAGGCAAACUGAAGGUACCAGAUGAAUAAGCCACGGCUAACUACGUGCCAGCAGCCGCGGUAAUACGUAGGUGGCAAGCGUUGUCCGGAUUCAUUGGGUUUAAAGGGUGCGUAGGCGGCUAAUUAAGUCAGUGCUGAAAUAUC
rnacentral:rRNA from 1 species